GUACUCUCUUUGACAGCACGUAUACUGAAAUUGAAAUGACACAGAGGAGAUUAGCAUGGCCCCUGUGCAAGGAUGACAUGCAAAUUUGUGAAACGUUCCAUAUAAUA
ensembl:snRNA U6 U6 spliceosomal RNA